AGUGGGUUGGCUCAGUUGUUAGAGCGUAGGUCUACUAACCGAAAGGUCGCGGGAUCGAAUCCCGCUAGAGGCUG
rnacentral:tRNA from 1 species